CAGAACCAGAGACACAUCUCUAUUAUUCAUAUUCCUGUCCUGUAGAUCCACCCGGUUCUUAAAAGAUGGAUGCUGACCAUCUGGAUCCAGCCGGUCAUCCCGGAAAAAAAGCACAUAAUUAUCUCCCAGAGACUGAUACAGCUGUGGUCUACUCAGCAGUAAGAGCUGAAGACAUCAGGAAUGGACAAACAACCAUCAGAACAAGGCGAUCCAGGUCUAGCUGCCUUUUACCAGAAACAAGACUUUAAACCAGAGCCAGACGCCGUCUACUCUUCACUGAAGUAGUCCACCAGUCCAACCACUGACGUCCAGCUGCUGGUCUCUAACUGGUCCCCCUAGCACCUCAGACCAUCUUCAUGUUUGAAGAUGUUUUUAUAAUUGUUUUCUAUUUUUUUUUAGCUUUAUGUUGUUAUUGUUUUUUCACUUUCUAGACUCAAAUGACUCAAAUGCAAAAUUUUGUUAUGUUACUAUGUCCCAUGUCCUCGGUAACUGGUUGGAAUUGUUGUAGUAUGUUUGUGAUUGUUUGCUCUUGUUUCCCCGUCAGUGAUCUGGUUUCACUGGUUUUCUUCAUGUGGUUCUGUGGGUUUCAAAAAACUGUCACAUGGAAAAUCUGACUAGUGUGAUUGUUGCUAACACACACACAGCUUUAAUGCAGAAAGCAAAGAAUAAACAUUAAACUACAACCACAGACUGAACACAGCAGAAGCAUCAUUCAGUGGCCACAGAAAACCUUCAUGAUGUUUGUGUUUGAUGUGCUUGAUGCUUGUGUUUUUAUUUCUCUCUCCUCAAACACCAGAUGUCAGUAGAGUGCAGAUUGCAGUGACAUGAAAUCUGUUUUCUCACCUCUUCCAAUUUAUAAUCCUACCUACAGAGGCUGCUGAGGGACAGACAACUCUGGCUGACAUUUAUCUGUAGUGACUGUGAGUCAAAAAAUAGAAUGAUAAUAAAAACUAAAGCGAAACUAAAAUAUCAGCCAAUGGUUCAAAACUAAACAUCAGCAAUAGAAACCUGUUAAAGUUUCACUGAUGAUCUGUUUGUAUCCAUGUUAGUAUUUAAAGUCCAACAUCUCCCUCUAGUGGCCAUAUAUAAACAUGUGUGAGGAUGGUGUUAAUGUAAACUGUGAAUCAUAGUGUUCCAGUCAGUCAUCAGUGUGUCUCUGCACAGCUGUAAUUAAAAUG